UGGUAUUCUAGGGGCCCAAAAUUAACCCUUAACUACCCAAUUGAUUUGACCCUAAGAAGCCUCCUCUCUUCAUCUCUAUCAUUUCCAUUUCAGCUUCUCGAAGAAUACACUGUUGUUUUUCCCAAAGUACCCUUUAGGCCCCAUCUUUGCCCAGUGCUUCACCGGCCGAUUAAGAUUCCCUCCUCCAUUUUCCUCCUUGCAAAUGGUGACACUUCUCCUACUAGACAGAUUUGCUCUACCCUCCGUUGCUAGUAUGUGAGCCAACCCAUUUCUUCCUCUUGCAGUGUAUGAGAAAUGACAGGAGAGAUGCAUGGAACAUUCGACUAAUCCUUAGUGAAUUAAAUGUACGUGGGUUGCUAUCUUCGUGAAGAUUUUGGAUUGCUCGUGCUGGAAUCGGUGUCGAGAAAUACUAGGCGUGUAACGAGAAACUCAAAAAAUGGCAAAUGGCGAAAGCCAAAAUUAGGGCCUGUCGAUGCCACAUGAUCAUCUGUCUGGCCGUGUGCGACACACAACUGUGUAACAAGCCGUAUGCAAGGCCGUGUGAGCCACACGGUCUAGGCCAUUUUGGGCCAUGUGGGCCCAAAUUUUAGAAAUUUUUCCUAAGGUAACCCUCAAACCUAUGCAGAUCGGUGCGACAAGAGCUUGGUUAUGUCCACAUUUUCGUAAACUCUGUUUUGCUUAAAUUUGUCUUAUUUAAAAUUAUGAUUUGAGAGUUUUUGUAAUUUUUGGACUCUUGAGACAUUUGAAAUUAUUUUUGCUUUGGAUUUUAAAA